CUUGUUGAUAUUACAGAAGAAAUCAAAAAAGCAAUAGAGACGGGGGGAGAAUUAUCUUGUUGAUAUUACAGAAGAAAUCAAAAAAGCAAUAGAGACAGAAACAAUUUUGCAUGUGGAGGAAGACUUCUUCAGUACAAAAAAUCUCAAAUGGCAUGUUGCAAAAGCAAGGAUCUUUAAUGAUUAAGUUUUCAUAAUUUUAUGUCCGCAAAUAAAAUAUGUUUGUCCUUCUUCCUGAAAAGGGCAAAUAUUUCUGUAUCAGAAAAAUUUUCCACAACAGGAAAUUUUUUCUUCCUCUAGCUAUUAGGUAGGUCUUGUUUUUCCUUCCCCGAUUGGGGAAGGAAAAACAAGAAAUUUAGAUAGAUAGAGAGGGGCCAUGGCGUAGAUGGAGAGUCCUAGAGUAUUUAAUGCUCAUUUUGAGCUACACAGACCCAAUUAGAGCCCGCGCUCUACUAGACAACUCCCGGCAACAUCCAACGGCCCACACAGUGUGCCAUCUUCCCAAUUUCCCUCACAUGGCUUGGGUUAACCCGGGGCUAUGGUAACAUUCACUCGCCCAUGUUGAAUCGCCGUCAAGAGGAAUCGAACCCCGGUCUCCCGCACAGAGUACAAGAGCUAUAACCACUAAUCUACGGCGCCACCAAUUUCAUAGACCAUUUUGGAGAUUAUGCGCCAUUAUGGAUUUUCGAAGCCCGGUGGUGCAAGUUGAACUUUGGACUUCACGUUUUGUUCAGUCUUUUCCCUAACGGACGUGCUGGCGGCAGGACAGUUUUGAUUUUUGUUAUCUGUUUUUAUGUUUGUGAUACUAAUUUUAUGAUAUAUAUUAUGAAAGAUGCUUUUAUUAUGCACUUAUUUGUACUUUUAAUUUCUUUUUGUACAAUAAAGGCAACUUAAUAUAUCCUAAAAAUCUUUUAACUAGCUAGCUAGCUAGAGGUCUCCCAAAAAUGCUUUUAGGACACUGUACUGUAGGUAGCUAUAAGUCUGUAAUUAGUAAUUAAUGCUUGAUUAAAGGUAAUUUCAUUUUAUAUUUAGAUAUUUAAAAUUGUAUAUUUUAAAGAUAUUGGCAUUGGAUUUUAAACUUGGUUUUUUAGAGAGAAAUUUUUGAUUUUGGAAAUUCUUUACUGGAUUUGGACUUGAAUUUUGUUUUUGGAUUUGUUAAGAAAUGUUUAGGUUGUAAUAUUUGUGAAGAUCUAGAGAGUUAUAAUCCAUUGUCAAAAUACUUGUCAAAACUCUACAAUGUUAUCUAUUCCUAAAGUGAAACUUAAGCUCGCAAAAUAAUCUGGCUUUUUCUCUAUAAUGGGUGUAAAAAUUUUCAAUACACUGCCCAUAGAGAUACGGUGAACAGGUUCAGUCGCAAAAUUUUAGGAAUAGAGUCAGUAGUCAUUUUUAAUUGCAAAUAAUUUUUAUUAUUUUGAUAUUUUUAUAAUUUUGUUUUUCGAUGAUAAUUACACUAAUCGUAUGUUUGUCCCUUGAUUCGUCUACCUAAACACUCCUAUCUGAAGUCUUUUAAGAGUGGUAUUAGAAAGAAUACCUGUCUCUCUUCCCUGCUUUGCUAUUGCCCUAUAAUUUUUUUGUACGCUUCCCUUAUUGAAAAAUAUCAAAAAGGAAAAAAUGAUUAGUUUAGUUUACAGACUAAAGUGUUAUUCAAUUUUUUGUUUUUCUAUGUUAUUUGUUUCAGUCACAAUGUAUAUUUUACAUGAUUUUUUGUUAUAUAUAUGUAUGUCUUUAUCGGUUUCUUUAUCAGGACACACAAUUAUAGCAGUAAUUUAUUACUAAAGUGUAAAUCUUUAUGAUAAAUAAAUAAAUUACUCUUUGAAGCUUGUUUGAAUUAUUGACAUAAUAAGUUCCAUAGAAGAAAAAGCUCUGGCAAUUAACUCAACUAUUACUCAGUCCACAAGAAGUCAGUCAGCUGCCUCACACUAAGUUCUAAAAAAUCCUCAUACGUUGUAAGCGGCAUAAUUCGAUCGUAAAAAUAUGUUUAAAGUUGAUUAAAUAUAUCACUUCAGCGUUAAAAUAAUAAUAAAAGACACUCAGUAUCCCUACGUCCUACACGUGUAUUUAAUUGCUAUUUCUAAUUAAUUAAUAGAUCAAAUCAAUAUGCUUAAAUAAAUGUUGUCUGGUGCUAUCCCCUGUUACUUAGAUAAAAACAUACGAAGACCUAGACACGCUAAGAGUGUAUACAAAACUUGUUUCUUUUUGUGUGUUUUAAGAGAGUUUUCUACUAUGGCAUAUAGGGUUCAAAGUUCAACUUAUAUCAAUGUAUCCCAAAGGUACAUAAAAACAAUGGCAAACUGCAAACAUUACCACAAGAAACUUGUGUGAAAGUUUGUUUCCAUAGAAAAGCUGCAUUAUUGCGAAGCAAUUGAGCUUCGCGAGUGAAGCGAAAUUGUGGAGCACGUUUGCUACGCGAAGUAUACCAAGAGAAUUAUUGAGAUUCUCAAAAUUUCGAUAGAAAAAAAAAAUCAUAUAAAAUCAGAUAUGACUGGUAUUUUUUCAAGAAAAGGUAGGUUAUUUUUUUGUCUAAUAGAACAAAUAAGUUUGGACCAAUCAGCUCUUUUAAAUGUUAGCUAAAAAUGCCAAUAAAUAGGCUUUGUACCCCCCUACCCCCGUUAUUUCCCGAUUUUCCAUUUACCGGAAGCAAAAGACUGGGAAGUACACUCAAGCAAUCAGUAACUGGCUAUCGGCUAAUUUGAAUUAUCGUGUAUCUUACAGACCUAACACAAAUACAUAGUUUAUACCAAGUCCUAAUAAUAAUUGGCUUGGCUGGCAUGCUAUUUCUCUUAAUAUUUGGACUUGGAAAGGUUGUAUAUACCUUUUAAAGGCACAUUAUAUUAAUUUGAAUGUUUAUAAUGCACAAAAACGUGUUAUAUUUAUGGCUUCAUUAAAAAGAAGAUUUUAAAGUACCAAAUUAUCAGCUUGAAUUGGCAUGUUUGUGGUAUCCUUUUCAUACAGCAGAAGAAAAGUGAGUUGCGAAGAUUGCGUACAAUGAGAGCGAGAGAUGUUAUCUUUCAAUACGUGAGAUAAAAAGAAGAAAGCCAAACCUCAUCCCGCGUUGUUAUUGUUUUUCUGUCAAAAACUUGAAGCUGUUUUAUAAAUCUUGAUAAAGUUAAUAAAUUGUUUUCGUUUCUCUA